CUAAGUAUUUCCCUGUGUCUGUGUCUGUGUCUGUGGGUCUCUCCCUCGUCACCCACCCCCAUAUCCAGGUGGAAGUUUUCAACAAAAUCAAAGGCAGGCAGGACAGACGAAGGCCAAGCCCUGGGCUGACGCCUCCAGCACACACAGGGAGGGAGGGAGAGCCCUGGGGAAGUCUGGAAAUCGUUACCCCUGAGGUAGGCAGGCCUGGCAGAGGGAGGAGGGGGCUGGGAGAGUUGGGACCCCGUAGGAAAGGGAACUGCUUCUCAUGGAUUCCCUGAUGGCAGUGGGUGGUCUCCAUCCUCCUCCCCCUCCAGGUCUCCGUCUCCCCCAGGCCGGGUUCUCUGUGUCUCUAAAAUUCCCUACAAUUUGAGCUAUUCCCCCUUCCUCCCUCCUCCCCCUUUCGACCUUUCACUCUCUCUCUGGGACUCCCCUCCCCCAUUUCUCUGAGUUUCUGUGCCCUUCCCUCAAAGUCCCAGUCCCUCUGAGCCUGGGUCUCUUUCUUACACUGUCCAACCAUUCACACACCUGCAGGCCUUCCAUUGGCUGAGCUCAGGGUGGGCGGGUUCUGUUACCUGGGGCAACAGGAACAACAAACCUGCCCCCGCGUGGCUCUCCCGCAGCGGUGGGACCAUGGCUGGUCCGACCCUAGCUCUGCGCUACGGUCCCCCAUGGUCCCCAAUCUCUGGGGCCGAGGUGCCUGGAUCCUGGCCCAAAUGGCGUCUCACCAGCAGUGGUGUCGCCCACCACAUUAUCCCGCCUGUGUCCUUUCUCCCGCCCACUGUGCAGUCCACGGUCGCGGAGCCCCUGCCGCCGGCCGCCAAGCAGGAUUUGCACAUCUGGGAUUUUGAUGAGGUCAUCAGCAGAUGGGAGACAACCUCUGGCUCGGCUUACGUGCCUAAGAAGCACGGCGGGCCCUACGCACAGCCUAGGGCCCCAGAGCCUUCGGACCCCACGAGGACUGUGGGGAUCAAGGAUUUAGACGAAAAGCUCAGACACCGUGGCUGGCGCCUCCCGCUGAUCACGAAGCACCAGUGCAGUGAGAUGCGGGCGCAGUACACGGGCUGGCCCGACCCGGAUCAGCAGCGCCCCACAUUCUACGUCGGGCCCCAGCCCCUGGAGCUUGCGGAGCACCUUCGCGGAGGCCCUUCCCAGGCUUUAAUCCCUUGGACAAAGAACCCCGAGCUGGCCGGCCGGCCUUUCACAGUGUCUGACCAGGGCAUCUUGGACCGCCGUCAGCUCUAUCUGACCACCUCGGCCAAGGACUUCCGGGCCUACCCGAAGAAGGAGUUGUCUGGAUAUCCCCGCAAGGACUCGCUGACCUCCUGGACCUUUAACAAGACGCCUCAGGCCUGGGGCCAUGACCCACAAAGGCCACCCUGUCCGCGCCCCUCUCGGCCGCCAGGGAUCCGCGUGCCCCACGUCCAUCCGGUGACGACUGCAGUGCCACACCGCGGGGCGCUGUCUUUGGCUCAGGAGUCCUACAGACCCCCGCUGCACCCCCUCCUCGGGCUCAACCGUUUCUGCCCGCUGGAGCUGCCCUGGGGCGGCCCCCACUGGAAGCCGAUGUCGGGGAUCUACAGCGUGCCGCAAGCCUACCGCACUGAGAACUCCACCUACGGCAGCAUGAAGCCAGCCCGGGUCUGAGCCCGCAGCGCCAGCCCCGCCCUGGACACGCCCCCCCUCCCCGGGCGCGGAGCUAAGAUCGGGAACCCCGCCCAUUACGUGGUAGUGAGACCAGGACCCGCCCACUCAGUCGUGGGCGGGGCGACUCCCCA